rnacentral:rRNA from 1 species
GUAGUCCACGCUGUAAACGAUGUCGAUUUGGAGGUUGUGCCCUUGAGGCGUGGCUUCCGGAGCUAACGCGUUAAAUCGACCGCCUGGGGAGUACGGCCGCAAGGUUAAAACUCAAAUGAAUUGACGGGGGCCCGCACAAGCGGUGGAGCAUGUGGUUUAAUUCGAUGCAACGCGAAGAACCUUACCUACUCUUGACAUCCAGAGAACUUUCCAGAGAUGGAUUGGUGCCUUCGGGAACUCUGAGACAGGUGCUGCAUGGCUGUCGUCAGCUCGUGUUGUGAAAUGUUGGGUUAAGUCCCGCAACGAGCGCAACCCUUAUCCUUUGUUGCCAGCGGUUCGGCCGGGAACUCAAAGGAGACUGCCAGUGAUAAACUGGAGGAAGGUGGGGAUGACGUCAAGUCAUCAUGGCCCUUACGAGUAGGGCUACACACGUGCUACAAUGGCAUAUACAAAGAGAAGCGACCUCGCGAGAGCAAGCGGACCUCAUAAAGUAUGUCGUAGUCCGGAUUGGAGUCUGCAACUCGACUCCAUGAAGUCGGAAUCGCUAGUAAUCGUAGAUCAGAAUGCUACGGUGAAUACGUUCCCGGGCCUUGUACACACCGCCCGUCACACCAUGGGAGUGGGUUGCAAAAGAAGUAGGUAGCUUAACCUUCGGGAGGGCGCUUACCACUUUGUGAUUC